GAUGAACGCUGGCGGCGUGCCUAAUACAUGCAAGUCGAGCGAACAGAUGAGGAGCUUGCUCCUCUGACGUUAGCGGCGGACGGGUGAGUAACACGUGGAUAACCUACCUAUAAGUCUGGGAUAACUUCGGGAAACCGGAGCUAAUACCGGAUAAUAUAUUGAACCGCAUGGUUCAAUAGUGAAAGACGGUUUUGCUGUCACUUAUAGAUGGAUCCGCGCCGCAUUAGCUAGUUGGUAAGGUAACGGCUUACCAAGGCAACGGUGCGUAGCCGACCUGAGAGGGUGAUCGGCCACACUGGAACGGAGACACGGUCCAGACUCCUACGGGAGGCAGCAGUAGGGAAUCUUCCGCAAUGGGCGAAAGCCUGACGGAGCAACGCCGCGUGAGUGAUGAAGGUCUUCGGAUCGUAAAGCUCUGCUAUUAGGGAAGAACAAAUGUGUAAGUAACUAUGCACGUCUUGACGGUACCUAAUCAGAAAGCCACGGCUAACUACGUG
rnacentral:rRNA from 1 species